rnacentral:rRNA from 1 species
CCUACGGGAGGCAGCAGUUAGGAAUAUUGGACAAUGGGCGAAAGCCUGAUCCAGCCAUGCCGCGUGUGUGAUGAAGGCCCUAGGGUUGUAAAGCACUUUCGUUGGGGAUGUUAAUGACCGUACCCAAAGAAGAAGCACCGGCUAACUUCGUGCCAGCAGCCGCGGUAAUACGAAGGGUGCAAGCGUUGUUCGGAAUCACUGGGCGUAAAGAAUGCGUAGGCGGCUUAACAAGUCGGGAGUGAAAUCCCAGGGCUCAACCCUGGAACUGCUCUCGAAACUGUUUUGCUAGAGUCCCGGAGGGGUUAGCGGAAUUCCGAGUGUAGAGGUGAAAUUCGCAGAUAUUCGGAGGAACACCAGUGGCGAAGGCGGCUAACUGGACGGGAACUGACGCUGAGGCAUGAAAGUGUGGGGAUCAAACAGGAUUAGAUACCCUGGUAGUCCACACCGUAAACGAUGUGUGCUAGUUGUCGGGCAGCUUGUCUGUUCGGUUGGUACGGAGGACGUUAACGUUUUAACGUACGACCACCGCCGUCGGGUAAGGUACGGCCGGCCGAACGGUUAAAACGUUAAACGUAAGUAGUACGGACGUCGAGACGACGCGACGACGACGACGACGGAGGAG